rnacentral:rRNA from 1 species
UUGACUGGGGCGGUCUCCUCCUAAAGAGUAACGGAGGAGCACGAAGGUUGGCUAAUCCUGGUCGGACAUCAGGAGGUUAGUGCAAUGGCAUAAGCCAGCUUGACUGCGAGCGUGACGGCGCGAGCAGGUGCGAAAGCAGGUCAUAGUGAUCCGGUGGUUCUGAAUGGAAGGGCCAUCGCUCAACGGAUAAAAGGUACUCCGGGGAUAACAGGCUGAUACCGCCCAAGAGUUCAUAUCGACGGCGGUGUUUGGCACCUCGAUGUCGGCUCAUCACAUCCUGGGGCUGAAGUAGGUCCCAAGGGUAUGGCUGUUCGCCAUUUAAAGUGGUACGCGAGCUGGGUUUAGAACGUCGUGAGACAGUUCGGUCCCUAUCUGCCGUGGGCGCUGGAGAACUGAGGGGGGCUGCUCCUAGUACGAGAGGACCGGAGUGGACGCAUCACUGGUGUUCGGGUUGUCAUGCCAAUGGCACUGCCCGGUAGCUAAAUGCGGAAGAGAUAAGUGCUGAAAGCAUCUAAGCACGAAACUUGCCCCGAGAUGAGUUCUCCCUGAGACUUAGAGUCUCCUGAAGGAACGUUGAAGACGACGACGUUGAUAGGCCGGGUGUGUAAGCGCAGCGAUGCGUUGAGCUAACCGGUACUAAUGAACCGUGAGGCUUAACCUUACAACGCCGAAG